AGGAGUUUGAUCCUGGCUCAGGAUGAACGCUAGCGGCAGGCCUAAUACAUGCAAGUCGAACGGGAUUGGAGAGCUUGCUUUCCAUGAGAGUGGCGUACGGGUGCGUAACGCGUAUGCAACCUACCUUCAUCAGGGGGAUAGCCCGAAGAAAUUCGGAUUAACACCGCAUAACAUUAUUGAAUGGCAUCAUUUAAUAAUCAAAUAUUUAUAGGAUGAAGAUGGGCAUGCGUGUCAUUAGCUAGUUGGCGAGGUAACGGCUCACCAAGGCGACGAUGACUAGGGGAUCUGAGAGGAUGACCCCCCACACUGGUACUGAGACACGGACCAGACUCCUACGGGAGGCAGCAGUAAGGAAUAUUGGUCAAUGGAGGCAACUCUGAACCAGCCAUGCCGCGUGCAGGAAGACUGCCUUAUGGGUUGUAAACUGCUUUUAUACGGGAAUAAACCUUGAUUCGUGAAUCGAGCUGAAUGUACCGUAAGAAUAAGGAUCGGCUAACUCCGUGCCAGCAGCCGCGGUAAUACGGAGGAUCCAAGCGUUAUCCGGAUUUAUUGGGUUUAAAGGGAGCGUAGGCGGCCUAUUAAGUCAGGGGUGAAAGACGGUGGCUCAACCAUCGCAGUGCCUUUGAUACUGGUAGGCUUGAAUGUAGUUGAGGUAGGCGGAAUGUGACAAGUAGCGGGAAAUGCAUAGAUAUGUCACAGAACACCGAUUGCGAAGGCAGCUUACUAAGCUAUGAUUGACGCUGAGGCUCGAAAGCGGGGGAUG
rnacentral:rRNA from 1 species